rnacentral:rRNA from 1 species
UGCCAGCAGCCGCGGUAAUACGGAGGGUGCAAGCGUUAAUCGGAUUUAUUGGGCGUAAAGAGCGCGUAGGCGGAAACGAAAGUCAGAUGUGAAAUUCCACGGCUCAACCGUGGAGCUGCAUUUGAAACUUCAUUUCUUAGAGGAUAGGCGGGGAAAACAGAAUUCCACGUGUAGCGGUGAAAUGCGUAGAUAUGUGGAAGAAUACCGGUGGCGAAGGCGGUUUUCUGGACCGAUACUGACGCUGAGACGCGAAAGCGUGGGGAGCAAACAGGAUUAGAUA